CCUUGGCACUAGAAGCCGAUGAAGGACGUUACUAACGACGAUAUGCUUUGGGGAGCUGUAAGUAAGCUUUGAUCCAGAGAUUUCCGAAUGGGGAAACCCAGCAUGAGUUAUGUCAUGUUAUCGAUAUGUGAAUACAUAGCAUAUCAGAAGGCACACCCGGAGAACUGAAACAUCUUAGUACCCGGAGGAAGAGAAAGAAAAUUCGAUUCCCUUAGUAGUGGCGAGCGAAACGGGAAGAGCCCAAACCAACAAGCUUGCUUGUUGGGGUUGUAGGACACUCUAUACGGAGUUACAAAGGACGACAUUAGACGAAUCAUCUGGAAAGAUGAAUCAAAGAAGGUAAUAAUCCUGUAGUCGAAAAUGUUGUCUCUCUUGAGUGGAUCCUGAGUACGACGGAGCACGUGAAAUUCCGUCGGAAUCUGGGAGGACCAUCUCCU
rnacentral:rRNA from 1 species